UUACGGCCACAUCACGUUGAAAUACCGGUUUCAUUACGAUUACUGAAGUUAAGCAACACUGAGCCUGGUCAUUAACUGGAUGGGUGACCGCUUGGGAAUACCAGGCGCU